rnacentral:rRNA from 1 species
AGGAUGCUGGAAUGCACUUAGUCUGAAAACUCCGGUGCCUAAGGAUGAAUCUGCGGACUAUCAGGUUGUAGUCAGGGUAAUGACCUGACUAGCCUAUGACGGAUAUGGGUUGUGGGAGCAAUAACCCAGAGAUGAUAUCCGAGACACGAUAUCAGGCCCUACGGGGCGCAGCAGGCGCGAAAACUUCGCAAUGUGCGAAAGCACGACGAGGGAAUCCCAAGUGCUUGCACGUAAGUGUAAGCUGUUUCUCUGUUUAAAACGCAGAGAGAGUAAGGGCUGGGUAAGACGGGUGCCAGCCGCCGCGGUAAUACCUGCAGCUCAAGUGGUGGCCGUUAUUAUUGGGCCUAAAACGUCCGUAGCCGGUUUAUUAAAUGCCUGGGUAAAUCGGACCGCUUAACGGUUCGAAUUCCGGGUAGACUGAUAAACUUGAGACCGGGAGAAGUUAGAGGUACUCCUGGGGUAGAGGUGAAAUUCUGUAAUCCUAGGGGGACCACCAGUGGCGAAAGCGUCUAACUAGAACGGGUCUGACGGUGAGGGACGAAGCCCUGGGGCGCAAACGGGAUUAGAUACCCCGGUAGUCCAGGGUGUAAACGCUGCUUGCUUGAUGUUAGUCGGGCUCCGAGCCCGAUUAGUGUCGGAGAGAAGUUGUUAAGCAAGCUGCCUGGGAAGUACGGUCGCAA